GACGAAUGCUGGCUGCGUGCUUAACACAUGCAAGUCGAACGGUGAAAGGGAGCUUGCUCCCUGGAUCAGUGGCGAACGGGUGAGUAACACGUGGGCAACCUGCCCCUCACUCUGGGAUAACUCCGGGAAACCGGGGCUAAUACCGGAUACGACCUGGUGCGACAUCGCACCGGGUGGAAAGAACUUCGGUGAGGGAUGGGCCCGCGGCCUAUCAGCUUGUUGGUGGGGUAACGCCCCACCAAGGCAACGACGGGUAGGCGGCCUGAGAGGGCGACCGGCCACACUGGGACUGAGACACGGCCCAGACUCCUACGGGAGGCAGCAGUGGGGAAUAUUGCGCAAUGGGCGAAAGCCUGACGCAGCGACGCAGCGUGAGGGACGAAGGCCUUCGGGUUGUACACCUCUUUCAGCGGGGACGAAGCGAAAGUGACGGUACCCGCAGAAGAAGCACCGGCUAACUACGUGCCAGCCGCCGCAGUAAAAC
rnacentral:rRNA from 1 species